UNUGACUUGAGUGCAGAAGGGGAGAGUGGAAUUCCAUGUGUAGCGGUGAAAUGCGUAGAUAUAUGGAGGAACACCAGUGGCGAAAGCGGCUCUCUGGUCUGUCACUGACGCUGAGGCUCGAAAGCGUGGGUAGCGAACAGGAUUAGAUACCCUGGUAGUNCACGCCGUAAACGAUGAGUGCUAGGUGUUAGGCCCUUUCCGGGGCUUAGUGCCGGAGCUAACGCAAUAAGCACUCCGCCUGGGGAGUACGACCGCAAGGUUGAAACUCAAAGGAAUUGACGGGGGCCCGCACAAGCGGUGGAGCAUGUGGUUUAAUUCGAAGCAACGCGAAGAACCUUACCAGGUCUUGACAUCCCGAUGCUAUUCUUAGAGAUAGGAAGUUACUUCGGUACAUCGGAGACAGGUGGUGCAUGGUUGUCGUCAGCUCGUGUCGUGAGAUGUUGGGUUAAGUCCCGCAACGAGCGCAACCCUUAUUGUUAGUUGCCAUCAUUAAGUUGGGCACUCUAGCGAGACUGCCGGUAAUAAACCGGAGGAAGGUGGGGAUGACGUCAAAUCAUCAUGCCCCUUAUGACCUGGGCUACACACGUGCUACAAUGGUCGGUACAACGAGUUGCGAGCCGGUGACGGCAAGCUAAUCUCUGAAAGCCGAUCUCAGUUCGGAUUGGAGGCUGCAACUCGCCUCCAUGAAGUCGGAAUCGCUAGUAAUCGCGGAUCAGCACGCCGCGGUGAAUACGUUCCCGGGCCUUGUACACACCGCCCGUCACACCACGAGAGUUUGUAACACCCGAAGNCGG
rnacentral:rRNA from 1 species